rnacentral:misc_RNA from 1 species
CUUGCAAAAUCAAUUCAGGAUGGAUGAAAUGGAGGAGUGUGAUAGGUGUAUUAUGUGAUUGGAAGAUCCAUGACAAAGUGAAAAGUAAGUUUUGUAGGACUGUGUUUAGGCUAGCUAUGUUGUAUGGGAGUGAAUGCUGGGCAUAUAAGGUACAAUUUAUCCACAAGACAAGUGUGGUAGAACUGUGAAUAUUAAGAUGGAUGUCUUGUAACGUGAUAAUGGAUAAGAUUAGGAAUG